GUUUCAAAUCUUGAAAUACAAGUUCAAUUUAUGAAUUCAAUGAUUCAAUUUGUGCAUUACACAUUCAAAAAUAUUAAAUUUAAAUGAAAUAUCCUAAUACAAAUACAAAAGUAUGGAAUUCACACACAAUUUCUGUUGACACUGAAAUCGCUCCAUAUUCUGGACAAAAUGUGUGUCAACACGAGAAACACUAUACUGUGACGUUUUGCAUGGGCAUGCUUCUAUAGGUCUAGCGAUUCUGACAGGCUAGAAUAGUGGCAUAUUAUCACAUACACAGUAGAUUAGAAACCUUUGUUAGAUUCAUGCUACUUGAUCAAAUAGCAACCAAGUUUACUCCACUUCUUGUCAGUAGUGAUCUAUACUGCCUGAGUAGCAGAAUAUUUAGUUAUUGGUGUCACUUUGUUAUUUCAAAACCACCUGAAUAACACGUAGACUUGAUCAAUCUUAAAUAUAUAUCACACACUCAACAGUUAUCACCAUGAAUGACUACAGACUGGAAAGGCUUCGAAUGAGCCGUGGAGUAGGCUACAGUAGUACAAACUUUACCCAUAGGAACCCUUGUUUUUAUACAUUGUCUUUGUUUAAUGCUUCAACCUGUUUAUAUCUGAUUCACUUCCUGCCUGCCUUACUGCAUCUGUUGUACCUAAAUCUUUCCAAGCCACACAACAAAAAAUAACUUAACCCCACUUUUUGUGAGGUCGAAGUUAGAAAUGAAAUGAUGCUGCGCUAGAAAACUGAGUGAAACUCAGAGAAUGUUGUGGCUAACCUAAAGAGAGUGAGCUCUGUGUUUGUGGUGGCUGAAAAGAAUGCUGUCCCAUAUGUAUGUAACAUGAUAUAAUGUUCUAGUUUACAAUGUUUACUUAGUGUAGCACUUUGCUAUUUCUUCAAAUAGAAGCCUAAUCUGAAACUGCAUUUUAGUUCAACUUGUCCAACAAAAAUGUAUGAACACAAUGAGCAGGAAAGAUUGUGGGAUUGUAGCGAGUGGGUGCUGAGGUCCACCAAUUUGACAACGCGCUGUGGAAGGUCUGCACGCAGUAGCCUACACUGAGCUGUUAAGUGUUCCCCGUACCAACUGCUUUGUGUGCCAUUUGGUUACCCAAUUCCUACAGUACCCACUUAUACAGUGCUCAUUCCUCCAGUGUGGUGGUCCUGGAAGGAGAGGUUCUACACUAACUACAGGUCAUUUCAUAUGGAUUGCCGAUAUGACGAAAUCCAUCAGGAAAUCCCUGUGUGUUUCUUCUUAGGAUCAGUGACGAAAUAACAACAGGUCUUUGUUCAAUGACUGUAAUAUAAUGCAUGCGAAAACUGUGAGACGCCCAUUAAAUUAGGCCUACGUAACUGAAGUCUAUGAUACAGACGCACCAUGCAAUUCAUUUCAAAGGUAUAUCAGGCUCUUUGCUAUGGUCGGCUCUGAGCCUAGGACAAAGAAGACGACCAUAUUUGAGUGCAUUUUGUCUACCGAUACAAAACCUCCUAUUGAACGUUUGCAUAAACCCACCCAGCUUACAGAAAUUGUAAUAACUACAGUAAGGCUUGAGGUAUCGUAAGACUGACUACUGUAAUGGAUGUGCAUGUGAACCUAUAGACGGACUCGGAAAAUAACUGCACUAAGUUUGUUUGUUUCUCUUUGAACAUAAUGCCAGCACUUUAGAAAUAAUAAAAGAAAAAAAUCUUUCAAAAUGUAAGAGUGAAGGUUGGAGGACAGUCUUAAGUCUCUGGGAGCAACCUUUAAAGCCAUGUUCGUAGAGCACUGACAAUCAGAACAGGAAAGACCCACCUGCACUAUGGGAGAUGUGUCAUCAAUAGCUGGGCUCCUGCUAAUUCCUGCCUUGUUGCUUCCAGCUUUGCUAUUGGUCCAUGUGAGCUACCUACUCCAAAACGGAGGCCUGUGGCAGUGCCAACUCUGGCCCUCAGGGUUGCCUGGGCAACUGCAUGUUCUCGGUGCACCUCUCUCAGCUACUGUAGAUUUGACUGAGAACCUGAUUGAUCCAGGACCUGUGAUCCAGGACCUGCUGUGUUUUUUACUCCUAAAUGUCAUGGUCAGGAUGAGGAUAGUUUAAGUUGAUCCUAGAGCAGCACUUUGGGGUAACUUAGCUUACUUGACAAAUCUAGGCCUUUAUGACAACCCACAGGGCAUACACUGCUUGAAUCAACAUUGUUUCCACAUCAUUUCAAUGAAAUUACAUUGAACCAAUGUGGAAUAGACGUUAAAUUGAUGCUUGUCCCCAGUGGGAAGUGACUUUUCACAUUUGUCGAUGUCUGAGAGAUUGAGUUCCAUUUAGCUGGAACCUGGCAAAAUGGGACAGGAGAUUGGGGGUGGUUUUAAUGGGGGUGGUUUUAAUGGGAGUGGUUUUAAUGGGGGUGGUUUUAAUGGGGGUGGAACUCUGUGACUGCUUUAUAUUUGAAAAGAUAAUGAUUAAAAUGUAUAUGCGCCUUCUGACUCAAGCAUCAAUAAUAUAUACAAGAGAAACACAAGAUGCUACUUUUGAUGUUGCAUAAAGAAUAAACAAAUCUCCAUUCCAAGUAUGUUUUUUCCUUCCACCGCCAGUUUUAGUUGAGGUUGACAUUGUGUAGUUCACGAGUAAAUUGAUUUCUUUCAAAUGCAAUACUUUGAAGUCUGCCUUCUAAUAAAACUCCUUACUUCAACAUAUAUUCCAGUCUUCUUGUUUUAUAUUCC
rnacentral:lncRNA from 1 species